ensembl:lncRNA
AUUUUCGGUGCACCCUUCAGAGUACACUGCCGCUGUCUGCCGCGCUGACACAAGCCAUACACUCGGAGAGCGAAUCUAAUUAAAGAGACAAUUAUGAUUGUGACCCAGUUCGACCCGGAUUCGUAAUCAAAUGGACUCAUUUACCUGGAGCUUUGGAGCUUCAUCUUCUGAGCACUGAGUGUGAACCCGGAGACUCCCCUGUCACUCUGUGCCUCUGAACUGUACUUUGUUACGUACUCACACACACUGCACACAAUUACCCUCAACGUACAGUACGUGCUUAUUUGUCUGCUGAACGCAUCACGGUUUUCCUUUAUUAAUUCCAACUGGUCCAAAUAGUCUAACUAAUAGGUCUCCAUUAUGGCGCAGUGAUGACUGAGUAUAUUACACAAUAUAUCAACCGUAAGCACAAUCAGAUUGGGAUGAUGUGAUCUUAUUAUGUGACAUUCUACACUGUUCAUGUCAAUGAUGUAGAGCCAGCCGUAACUAUUUAACAGAAUGACUGAUUGAAAUCAGUCGUUGAGCCGCAUAUUCAUACGGAAAACAGUGUCUGCAUUUGUGGGACACAUGUUGUUUCACAGGGCACAGCCGAUCAUAGGACCAUAAGAAAAUAUUCUUCUACAUCCCGACUAUUGUGAGGUAAGCUCAAAAAAUAUUAAACCAGAAAACUGGGCUUGCAUGUUCUUGAUUGCCUCAAGAUAAUGUCUGACAAGGUUAAUAAUGAUACUAGGUUUUUGCUGGUACAAAUGAAUUCUAACCAAGGUUUUGGAUUCAUUACCCAAACCAAACCUGUCACGGUGUGGUUCACUUCAUGUUAUAUUUUGUAGUUUUCUGCCACUUGUGUCCCCGGGUAACUUCACUUCCUGCCUUGUCCCGUUGUCCCCUGUGAUUGUCUAAUAGUUUCCACCUGUGUCCAAUCACCUGCACCUCCCUUGUGUAUUUAAGCCGUGUGUCUCCUGUGUCACUUGUCGCGUCAUUGUCUUUUGCCACGCUUGUUCUAGUCUUUCGUCCUGGAUCUCUGUAGUUUUUUGCCUAUGUGCUUUUGCCCCCGGUUCCUGUGUUUUUGACCUUUUGACUAUUAAAGUGUUUUGUUUGGAGAAGUCUGCAUUUGAGUCCUGCCUUCCACCCCCAACCCUGACACAAACCCAUUCACAUUUAUAAAAAUUUAAAAUAAAUCAAUCAACAUAGCUUUGGAUAGUGAAGAUUAAUAGACUGCUACUAUAUGUUAAAUGUUGGGUGAAUUUUUUUUCUUUUAUUAAGUGUUAUAACUCUAAAUACGACUGUCAAAGCAAAAUAGUUUCUUGUAGGAAACAUGGAUAUCACAGGACAGAUUUGGGAGUCUUUUGGAGCAAUUCUUUUUACACCAAUUAGCUAGUUACGAGACAGAUGUCAUUAGUGAAGUUAAACCUCUGUGGCCCACUCAUCAAGCAGGAAAAGUUGGCAAGAACCAGACCACCAGGAGCCCAAAGGCCCCAUAUUCAUGGUCUGCCAGUUGGUUUGAGGUAAUCUGCACUGCUGUUCUUAUAACAUUCUAGGGCGAGCAUGUAUUCCUGUAGGCUGUGCGUCUGUGCUCAGGGGCCCAGGAGCCUUGAUGCCUUUCAUCAAAAUUUUACCCAUUCCGCAUUAACAUAAUAACCUGAGACAGCCUAAUUACCACAAACGGGAGUUAAAAGGUUUGCUGAGCAGGUUAAUAUGGCCAUGCAAGCAUGCUGGACACAGCUAGCUAAUGGACAACGAAGUAGGUGAACCAGGCAGUGACCUCCAGGUCGGGAAAGUGAAGGCGAUGCGGAUGUGCUUUAAACUCAUUCUUUCCAAUAGCUUUCUGAUAAAGUCUAAAGAUUACUUCUCACUUGAUUCAUUACGUCAGUAAACCUUUGAACGUGGCUUUUUGUUUUGAAUCACUAGUUCCAUGUACAUCAAUUAUACAUGAUGUAAAUCUCGGUGUCAGUUUCAGUCAAAUAGGCCCUAAGGGGUGGUAAGUUUGAAGGCGUGGCUACCUUGUGAUUGGCAGGUUGCUACGUUUGCACUUUCCAGUCCCUGUGUUUUUGUCUCAGAACUUUGCCGAGCGUGUUUUCUGUUCAUGAACGUUAGAUUCAACCACGUUGGUUGUUGUGAGUUUUUCUCUUUGAGACCAUCGAGAACAGACGGGCUUUAAAUACAUCAUUUUAUUCCUCACACUUAUCCUCCCACUGAGAACUCGUGUCUCUCAAGUCACCCUUGCUACUUUGCAUAGCGCUCAGACGUGUUUGCCGGUUCGCCGCCAGUUCCGCGACAAGGUCACGCACAGUGACACCCCCGCCCCUCACGUAUCCCACAGGCUGCUACAGUGUCUACACACAAAAUCUCUGGCGGAGCUCUUGCGGCUUCUGGGUUUGAGUUGGGCUCCCUCUGAGGAUUGUGUCUCUGACGCUCUGAGAGAUUAAUUCAGCAAUGAAUCUGCGUUGAAAGAGAAAAUAUAGUGCAGCUCUUUUUUUUUAAAACGUAUUUUGGAGGCUUAAAAACCAAACACAAUAGAAGAAAACUAGAUAACAACUAAUCUGGCUCACUUUGUUGUCUGCAAUGUAUUUUGGAUCCUCUCUCAUUUCUUCUGCUAAUUGCAACAUGGUAAUUAGGUGUAGAGUCUAAUUUACUACGGGGCAUCGUUUAACAAUAUAUGCAUUAUUCAAGGGGAGAAUUCAAGGCGGAGGAGGAAAAGUGGGGGAAUAACAAUAGUACUGAUGAUACUUGUGGUUUUGAUGAUGACAGUGAGAAAAGAAAUGGGACUCACAAUGUAGGGGAGGCGGAGAGCAUUGAUGAUGAUGAUGAUGGUGGUGGAGACUGUGGGUGCUGUGAUGGUGAGCCAGGGACAUAAAAGAGGGUCAUUGACCUGUGAUUUUAGUCCUAUUUCCCCUACAUGCCAGGUCCUAAUCGACUCCAUUAACAGAGGGGGGGUAGAAAGCCCUGAUGCUGGAGCUUUCAGAGUAAAGUCUGCAUAUGUGAUGACUUGCAGUCCGGCUGGCUGAAUGAAGCACGCUCAGUCCGAUAACCUCCUCUUUCCUUAUUAUUUCCCCUCAUUUAACUCACCGUGUGCCUCCAUCACAGUCCAUUUUCCCUUUGCGCCGGUGGGUGUGCGUGUGUGUCUCUCAAUCGUGCAGCGCGCCUGUUAUUUCACAGCAAUUUUGGAUAAUGAUUUAUUUUACCAUCCACAAUUGGAAGGCCUUUCGCUUGAAAGGGAAUGAUAAAAACGGUAAUCCCUUUGCAAUUAUGUGGUGAGAGUUAGUCCCGUUCAUUGAGAUUCACUGAUACGACUGGUGUGGACGCAGGACAUUCUUCUCCAGUGUGGCCGGCUCAGUACAUCACAGGAAAAUACACAUGCCUUCCAAAUACACAGUGCCCGCUUCAUAAUACUGGGAAUUACAUCGCUGUUCGUGUUAAGAAUAAUGAAUGCAUUGAGAACGCAACGCAAACGAGACUGGGAUCUCUCACGGCCUCCAUCACUUCAGUUGAUAUUAGGUGGUGCAUUUUCUGACAAAUUAGCAUUUAAUCAAAUUACUAGAUCCGUUUGAAGCCCUUUUGAGCCUGAGUUGCCUGUCAGUUAAUUCAACCUUGCUGCUUGCGAUGGAAGAUCUUAUACUUAAGUAAUUUAAGAUUACAAUUGAAGACUUAAGAAUAAAGGUCUCGUAAAUUUUGAGAAAUAA